rnacentral:sRNA from 1 species
UUUUCUUACGUUUAUCCUGGUUGGUUUGUACUGUGAUAUGAUUUAGGCCUUGUUUGUUUGAUCAGUCAGAUGGAUCAUCUGGAUGGAGAUGAGUUUUGAUGUUCGUUUGGUGCCAAAAACGGUUCAUUCAGAUGAUCCAUCCAAAUGAAUCAUCUGGAUGAGUUUGAAAAUUUAGGCUAAAUUUUCAAACUCAUUUGGCUGAACUAAAUUGGAUCAUUUGGAUGGAGAUGAUUCAGUCAAAAAUAACAAAUGACAAAAAUAUCCUAAUUAUUCCAAUUGAUUAUUUAGAUGUAUUUUUAGAUACAAAAACAAAUAGACUAAACCUUAUUUUACAAUUAUU